GGCGAAAGUUCAACGGUUAGGGGAGAGUUUUGGUCAACCCACUAGCGGAGUUUUUUUUUUUUUUUUCUCUCGAGGGAAGCAGCAUAGAUAUUCGCUGUAAAUAUGUCCUGGCGAACUGCAGACAAUUCACAACAUAAGGUGUACGACGGUAAAUUACACGAAAACGUUUGACGACAAUAGCGUAUUUUUUCCCAGAGAUGUAACCGAGGGGGUGGAGGAUUGAUUUAUUAUUAAUGCUCGCGGUUUUCGUUACCGCGCGUAGGAACGCGGUGCGUUAUGACAAACGAUAACUGAUAGAGUGAUAACCGUAAUAGUGCGACACGUAAUUUAGCAGUUUCACGUGAAACGCGAAUCGGCGCAGUUAUUACCGUUAUCACAAACAAACGAAAAAAAGACGUUCGAAAUUCCAAACGUCUUCGGUUAGGAGGUACACGUGCGUUAAUGCGUUCAGGUUUUUUUCACGCAGUCCGGGAUGCCAGCCUAAAAAAUACACGACAUUUUUCGCCUUCCUUGUAAUUUAUAUGCAUAAUUUAAU